GAAACAGUGGCUAAGACUGGAUAGGAAGAAAUAAGGCAUCUUUUUUCUUUUAAAAGACCUAGUGAUAGGUAUACUUUAGGAGGGGCUUGCGCCAUAUUAGUUAGUUGGUAGGGUAAUGGCCUACCAAGACGAUGAUGUGUAGCUGGACUGAGAGGUUGAACAGCCACAUUGGGACUGAGACACGGCCCAAACUCCUACGGGAGGCAGCAGUAGGGAAUUUUCGGCAAUGGAGGAAACUCUGACCGAGCAACGCCGCGUGAACGACGAAGUACUUUGGUAUGUAAAGUUCUUUUAUCAAGGAAGAAAAGCAAGUGGUGAACCAUUUGUUUGCCGGUACUUGAUGAAUAAGCCCCGGCUAAUUAUGUGCCAGCAGCCGCGGUAAGACAUAAGGGGCAAGUGUUAUCCGGAAUUAUUGGGCGUAAAGGGUGCGUAGGCGGUCUAGUAAGUCAGUGGUGUAAUGGCAACGCUCAACGUUGUCCGGCUAUUGAAACUGCUAAACUUGAGUUAGAUAGAGGCGAGUGGAAUUCCAUGUGUAGCGGUAAAAUGCGUAAAUAUAUGGAGGAACACCAGAGGCGUAGGCGGCUCGCUGGGUCUUAACUGACGCUGAGGCACGAAAGCGUGGGGAGCAAACAGGAUUAGAUACCCUGGUAGUCCACGCCGUAAACGAUGAGUACUAAGUGUCGGGUUAAACCGGUACUGAAGUUAACACAUUAAGUACUCCGCCUGAGUAGUACGUACGCAAGUAUGAAACUUAAAGGAAUUGACGGGACUCCGCACAAGCGGUGGAUCAUGUUGUUUAAUUCGAAGAUACCCGAAAAACCUUACCAGGUUCUUGACAUGUUUUUGCGAAACGGUAGUAAUAUCGUGGAGGUUAUCAGAAACACAGGUGGUGCAUGGUUGUCGUCAGCUCGUGUCGUGAGAUGUUAGGUUAAGUCCUAAAACGAGCGAAACCCUUAUCGUUAGUUGCCAGCACGUUAUGGUGGGGACUUUAACGAGACUGCCAGUGAUAAAUUGGAGGAAGGUGAGGAUCACGUCAAAUCAGCAUGCCCCUUAUGACCUGGGCUACAAACGUGAUACAAUGGCUGUUACAAAGGGUAGCUGAAACGCAAGUUCUUGGCCAAUCCCCAAAAACAGUCUCAGUCCGGAUUGAAGUCUGCAACUCGACUUCAUGAAGUUGGAAUCGCUAGUAAUCGCGAAUCAGCAUGUCGCGGUGAAUACGUUCUCGGGGUUUGUACACACCGCCCGUCA
rnacentral:rRNA from 1 species